UGAGUGAUUGUGUGUGUGUCUGACUCUGUGUGUGUGUGUUUGUGUCUGACUGUGUGUGUGUUUGUAUCUGACUGUGUGUGUGUGUUUGUGUCUGACUGUGUGUGUGUGUGUGUGUUUGUGUCUGACUGUGUGUGUGUGUUUGUGUCUGACUGUGUGUGUGUCUGUGUAUGUGUCUGACUAUGUGUUUGUGUUUGUGUCUGACUGUGUGUGUGUUUGUGUCUG